UACAGAGGGUGCAAGCGUUAAUCGGACUUACUGGGCGUAAAGAGCGCGUAGGCGGCUAUUUAAGUGAGAUGUGAAAUCCAUGGGCUUAACCUGUGAAUUGCAUUUCAUACUGGAUAGCUAGAGUAUGACAGAGGAAAGUGGAAUUUCCGGUGUAGCGGUGAAAUGCGUAGAUAUCGGAAAGAACAUCAGUGGCGAAGGCGGCUUUCUGGGUCAAUACUGACGCUGAGGCGCGAAAGCGUGGGGAGCAAACAGG
rnacentral:rRNA from 1 species